rnacentral:rRNA from 1 species
UACAGAGGUCCCGAGCGUUGUUCGGAUUCACUGGGCGUAAAGGGUGCGUAGGUGGCGAGGUAAGUCGGAUGUGAAAGCUCGGAGCUCAACUCCGAAAUGGCAUUGGAAACUACCUUGCUCGAGGGUUAGAGGGGGGACUGGAAUACUUGGUGUAGCAGUGAAAUGCGUAGAUAUCAAGUGGAACACCAGUGGCGAAGGCGAGUCCCUGGACAACUCCUGACACUGAGGCACGAAAGCUAGGGGAGCAAACAGG